rnacentral:rRNA from 1 species
GUGGGGAAUAUUGCGCAAUGGGCGAAAGCCUGACGCAGCAACGCCGCGUGAGGGAUGACGGCCUUCGGGUUGUAAACCUCUUUCAGCAGGGAAGAAGCGAAAGUGACGGUACCUGCAGAAGAAGCACCGGCUAACUACGUGCCAGCAGCCGCGGUAAUACGUAGGGUGCAAGCGUUGUCCGGAUUUAUUGGGCGUAAAGAGCUCGUAGGCGGUUAGUCACGUCGGAUGUGAAAACCCGGAGCUUAACUCCGGGCCUGCAUUCGAUACGGGCUGACUAGAGUGUUGUAGGGGAGACUGGAACUCCUGGUGUAGCGGUGAAAUGCGCAGAUAUCAGGAAGAACACCGGUGGCGAAGGCGGGUCUCUGGGCAACUACUGACGCUGAGGAGCGAAAGCGUGGGGAGCAAACAGGAUUAGAAACCCCAGUAGUCC